AACUUGGAGAAGUUAUUAAAGAUGAUAUUUGGCCAAAUCCAUUACAAUAUUAUCUGGCCUCUGAGAUAGAUGAAGAAGGUGGUGUUGGACCAGGUGGUGAUGAUGAACUUGAUGAUUUAGAUGAAGAAGAUGAGGGCGAGGAUUUUGAAGGGGAGGAUGAGGAAGGAGAAGAAGAAGGUGAAGGUGAUGAUGACGAGGAUGGUGAAGAAGAAGGAUAAAGAACAUGAUCAUAUCAUCUCAUUUCAUCAUUACAUACACGAUGCAUUCUUAAUUAUUGUAUGAUCCAAGAUAACACAGUGCACACAGACUUAACAUAGAAUCUGGGGACCAGUUUUGAAAUUGGAAAGUUUAUUGUUAUUUUAAGGGAUAGUUGUACUUAUUGCCCUCUUUCUGUAUAACAUUAUGCGUCGAACACAACUAAAAAUCAAUGACAGUGUCUUAAAAUAUAUUGCUGAGAAUAUGUUAUACAAUUUCCUACUAAGAUAAUAACUUUCAUUCAUCAUUUUAUCACUCGUCCAUUCAUCAUCGUGAUCAUCUGGUCAUCAUUAUCAUUAUCACAUUGAUCAUUAUCAUCAUUAAAUCAUCCAACAUCACUAUCAUUACCUCUGUUUAUUUUGAAACAUCAUCCAUAUUUUUUUACAAGAAUGAAUGUUGUUUCUGUUGAGUAGAUAUCAUGUGUACUGGAAUUCCUCUCAAUUCAAACGUGAAAUUCAGUUACCUUCCCUUUUAAGACAAAGGAAGAGAUUACUGGUGUAUUUAUGGUAACAUCUUAGUACCUGCCCUAUUUUUGUGACUAUUGUUGAGAAAUAUUUGUGAAGAAUAGAAUAAAACAGUAGGAAGCCUAGCAAA